GCAAAAGCAGUCGAAGAAUUUGGGAGAAGAAAAGCAAUCGAAGAAGCCAAGCUAGAGAGGAGAAGGAAAUGGGAAAAUCGAAGAGAGCUCAGAGAAGAAGGCAACCUUGACUCAGGAAGUGGACUCGCGGCGGCGCGGACUCGCGGCAGCGGAGGAUGAGGCAGCGAGCGGAGGUCCAUCAGCGAGAAGAAUCAGAA